AACAACUACUGCUUUACUAGUUUCAGACUAAGUUCUCUGAGGAUUUGUCAAUCUAAUUGCCAGAAGCAAUUGUCUGUCUAGCCCAUAAAGAUAAAUCUGUGCCCUCUGUUACAAAAUUAUCAUUAGGAACCUUUGGAUCCAGCAAUACCCUAAUGUUGACUUGCAGAGCAGAGCCUCAGGGCUGGCAUUUGUGUCUUCAUGGGUAAUCCUUUAACCACUGGGAACAGUGACCAGAAAUCAAUUAUUGACUGCAGGUUUAAAUAUAUGCUGCCAAAUUCCUUUAUUGAAUAAGGAAUCCAUAAGACUAUAUAAGCUGUAGUUUCCUUUUUGGCUAAACAAAAGUAAUACCACUAAUCCACAAACUCUGCAUCAUGUAAACUUGAUAAUAGUAAGAUGCUGUUUAUUUGAACUGAACUGAAUGCUUUGCCCUUAGGAACGGAACUCUGUAACAGAAAUAUCUACCUUUAGAAAGUUGUGCUAGAUUUUUUGUUGUUUGAAAAACGUUCUUUCAGACAGUACAUCAAAAUAAGGAUUUCUCUUUCAUUUCUUUCUGAAAAGAAAUUCUGCCAGGUGUCAGCAGUGGUGGAAACUAUGAAUCCGGUAUAUGCAUAAAAUGAGCAAUAUCAGCCCUGGCACUGAGUACUGGCAAAGAUGCUCAGAUGUGUUUUGAAAGGGCCACCUCCAGGAGCAAAGACAAGUUCAAAAACACAGCUCAUAUAAUAUUUUCCAGAGUUUGCUGUGAGUGUUGACAAUUUUUCAUACUUGCAGGACUCGUUCCAUCAAGCCAUAAAAGGAAAUAUCACCAACACAAAUGCCAGAAUAGUCGGUGUGUUUGGAUCCAGAUCUCCUCGGCCUAGCUUCCUAAGAAUCCAAGCUCAUGGACCUGCCUCAACAUAAUUCUCCAGAGAAAUUCGGUGAAAAUCCUAUAAACCAUCACACAGGAAAAAGGCCAUGUUCAUCAAGGAUCAAUUCAAUCAGUUUGAUACAACUGAGCACUAUGAAUUGCAUGCUGUAUUACAUCCCUUUAUACCUCCUCUCCUUACACUAUUUUUGCUAAACUUAUCCUGGUAUUAAAGGUGAUGAUCCAGUGAAGAUCCAUCAGUCAGUAAUCCACACUCUGCUGUUUUGUUGUUCUGCUGUUUUGUUGUUUCUCCUUUUUUUUUUUUUUUUUUUUUUUUUUUUAAUGGAAGUCCUACUUUUGUAUUUCCUCUGCUAUGAGGCAUCCCACGUUUGAUACUGUGCCAGUUCCAUGGGUAUUUUUAGAUGGAGAUUCCUUGUGUGAACACAUAAAUUUCAGUCCUGGAUAAACCUUCAAUGUGGUGUAAUUUUGAUUUCUAUAGUCUCAGUUCUUUAACCAACCACAUUUUUUUCCCCUUAUGCUACUUUAUCAUCUGCACUGAAAAUGUAGGCUUUUCAUUUCAUACUAGGGCAUAAAUUCAUUAAAAUGUAUAUCAUCUGUAUUGUAUGACCCCCCCGGUUCCUGGUUCCUCUCCCCCCCCCCCCCCCCCCCCCCUCCCCCCCUUAUUUUGCUAAUGAUCCUUUCAGGAUGUGUGUUUUGAAUUUGAAAAUUCUACCUGAGCUUGUAUAUUAAUUAGUUUUCUUGAGGUCUUUGUCUGCUGGAAUGUGAAUACCCUCUUUUUCCAGUCUGUCUCUAUCUACCUAGAAUCUAAUUUAAAC
rnacentral:lncRNA from 1 species